AGUGAACGCUGGCGGUAGGCCUAACACAUGCAAGUCGAACGGCAGCACAGUAAGAGCUUGCUCUUACGGGUGGCGAGUGGCGGACGGGUGAGGAACACAUCGGAAUCUACUUUUUCGUGGGGGAUAACGUAGGGAAACUUACGCUAAUACCGCAUACGACCUACGGGUGAAAGCAGGGGAUCUUCGGACCUUGCGCGAUUGAAUGAGCCGAUGUCGGAUUAGCUAGUUGGCGGGGUAAAGGCCCACCAAGGCGACGAUCCGUAGCUGGUCUGAGAGGAUGAUCAGCCACACUGGAACUGAGACACGGUCCAGACUCCUACGGGAGGCAGCAGUGGGGAAUAUUGGACCAUGGGCGCAAGCCUGAUCCAGACAUACCGCGUGGGUGAAGAAGGCCUUCGGGUUGUAAAGCCCUUUUGUUGGGAAAGAAAAGCAGCAGGUUAAUACCCCGCUGUUCUGACGGUACCCAAAGAAUAAGCACCGGCUAACUUCGUG
rnacentral:rRNA from 1 species